CAUCGUUGCGUUAUUGGUCUCCAGUAAGCAAGUGAGCUUCUCCAGGGAUUCCCGCAGCUUUACGUUCUUCGUCUGGUUCCUCAGGCCCCACAUCCAUACCAGCUUGCAGUCGCACAUCAGUUUAUUGCCUGAAACCGAGACAUCGAUGUUUGAUUAGAUGGACUCUCGUCUUAACGUGUUUCUACGCUGUCGUUCAUUGGAAAAGGACGCAACAAUGCCAGAGGAAGUUGACGAAUACUCGGAUUUCAUUGAGGAAUUUAAUAAUAUUACCAACGAGCUUUCACAAUUAUCCUAUAUUUGGAGGAUAUUCAAGGGGAAGAGGA
rnacentral:misc_RNA from 1 species